GUUAGCUUCACUGUACAGAUUUUUUACAUGUGUGCGAUGUAGAUAUUUACCCCAGCAACCAUACUUGUAUUUAUUUGACAUAUUGAAAUUUGGCUGUCAUUUAUCAGGGGUCUUUCUAUGAGUUGUUCCAAGAGUUGCCACUGCUCAGACCUGUGUAGCAACAAGCCAUUCCGCAAGGAUAAGAAAAUUAAAAUUGUCAAGGUAGUUCUGUCUUUCAAAUGAUGUGCUUGUAUACACUUGCCAAUUUAUUCACAAACCUGUGUAGCAACAAGCCAAUCCGCAAGGAUGUGUUUACACCACUCUUCUAAUUUUUCAAGGUCCACUCUUUUCCCCUUCGAGAGUUUGUGUGUGCCAUGAGUUGUACUGCUGGGGAACAGCUAAAUGAAGGGGCAUAUUAUUUAUACAUGGGCCACUUACAUAAGCACUUCAGCUAAUUGCUACGCAAUGCAAAUGAAUAUA
rnacentral:lncRNA from 1 species